rnacentral:rRNA from 2 species
ACGGGAGGCAGCAGUGGGGAAUAUUGCACAAUGGGGGAAACCCUGAUGCAGCAACGCCGCGUGAGCGAAGAAGUAUUUCGGUAUGUAAAGCUCUAUCAGCAGGGAAGAAAGUGACGGUACCUGAGUAAGAAGCCCCGGCUAACUACGUGCCAGCAGCCGCGGUAAUACGUAGGGGGCAAGCGUUAUCCGGAUUUACUGGGUGUAAAGGGAGCGUAGACGGCGGCGCAAGUCUGAUGUGAAAGCCUGGGGCUCAACCCCGGAACUGCAUUGGAAACUGUGCUGCUGGAGUGCCGGAGAGGUAAGCGGAAUUCCUAGUGUAGCGGUGAAAUGCGUAGAUAUUAGGAGGAACACCAGUGGCGAAGGCGGCUUACUGGACGGUAACUGACGUUGAGGCUCGAAAGCGUGGGGAGCAAACAGGAUUAGAUACCCUGGUA